UUAGAUUUAGUUUCAUUGAAUACUGACUUAUUGAUAUUUUGAUUUGAAAAAAAGAAGGCUAUUCAAUUAUGGCAUUGGCAUACAUCUAUUGAAAUGUGAAGAUCCUGAUAGAAUGCCCAGCAUCAGCAAGAUCAUUAAUCCCAAAGACAAUCAUAUUUCUUUCCAAGUAUUUGUCUUCUUUCACUAUUAUUAUCUCUUUUAUCUUCUAUAUGCACACUCAAAAGCAUGUGCGAGCGAUGUGCUUGAAAUGAUUAGUUAUAUGUACUUUACUUGUUGGCAGUGUGAGAACAUGGCGACAGUGGAGAGAAAAUUGACGGAGAUGAAGAUAGAGUACGUCAAGAGCAGGGUAGAGGAGGGUGGAAUCUACGUUGAUCAAGUGUUCUUUCACGACCCAGAUGGCUCGAUGAUUGAUAUUUCCAACUGUGACGUCCUGCCAGUGGUUCCACUAGCUGGAGAUACCAUCAGAUCAUGCUCAAUUGUCAACUGCAAUAUCCAGCAGCGCAACAGCAGCGGCAGAUUCAAUCAUGCAAAUGAAACAGCAAUGCCUUUCUAAUUCUAAUGAAGGCUUCUUUCGUCGUGCAAAAUGAUUAGAAUAAAUAGAUUAUGGAUAUUUAUCACAAGUGCCUGUUAGUAUAGGCUCUUUGUGUAUGUAUGUAUUAGAAAUACAAUGGUUAUGAUAACUUGACCAUUUAGUUCUUCAUUAGUAGUUAUUGAAUUGUGAUGAUGAAUGUAUUUGGUUUUGCAUAUAUAAUUUAUUUAAAUGUUAGCUCCUUUGAAAAAUUUUGAGGGUAAGACCAAGAGUAAGUUCUGUUACCCAUUAGACAAGGAUCAAACAAACAUCUCAAGUGAAAUUUAGAAGACCUGUGAAACAAGAAUACUAAUGAAUGAAUGAUUCUUGUUCAUACUUUCUCAUUAACUGUGAUAGAAUAUAUACACUUAGAAAGCCAAUCAAAAAAAGAAUCUAAAAAAAGAAUAUCUAAAUUAUAUAAAUUAAUCCUAAAAUAUCUCAUUAAUAUAUGCUUUCCUAAUAUGACUAAAUCAAAUAAUAAAGGAAAAGAUAUACCGAAAAAUAUCCACAAUUAAUUCACUAAAUUUCGAACACUCCCCCUCAAGUUUAGGAAUAUAUAUUUUACAUUUCAAGCUUGCUAAGAAGACUUUCAUGAGUUGACUUGGGUAAACUUUUGGUCAAGAUAUAUGCUUCUUGUGCAUGAGUAGAGUUGUAGCAUAAAUUGAUACCUUCUCCUUCGAUUUCAUUCUUGAUAAAACUUCAAUCAAUUCUAACAUGUUUCAUUUGAUCGUGUUGGACUGGAUUGUUCACAAUGCUAACGACAGAUUUGCUGUUAGUAUACAACUUAGUGGGAGAGCAAACUGUGAUUUGCAAAUCCUGCAUUAACCUUUCCAACCAUAUAACCUCACACAUUCCUUGUGCAAUAACCCGAAAUUCAGCUUCGGCACUACUCCUUGCCACAACUGUUUGUUUGUUACUCCUCCAUGUAACCAAGUUACCAUAUAGCUUGGUGCAAUAUCUUGAAGUUAGCUUACAAUCUUCACUUCCAGCCCAAUCCACAUCAACAUAUCUUUCAAUACUCAUGCUCUCAGUUUUUAGAAACAUUAGUUCUCUUCCCAGAGUUCCUUUAAGAUACCUCAAAAUAUGAUUUACAACCUCUAAAUGUCUUUGAGUAGGUGAAUACAUAUAUUGGCUCACUACAUUCAUAGCGUAUACAAUAUCAAGCCGUGUGAGAGAUAAGUAAAUCAAUCUACCAACCAAGCGUCAAUAUUUUUCUACAUCCACUGAAGACUCAUCAUUUUUAAUCUUGCUCUUCCCAUUCUUCUCGAGUGGAGUUCCUACUGGUUUACACCUUAACUUCUCGGUUUCUUCUAGUAGGUCAAGAGUGUAUUUCCUAUAAGAAAUGAAAAACCCUUUUUACUUCAAGCAACAUCCAUGUCAAGAAAAUAUUUCAAAGGUCCUAGAUCUUUAACUUCAAAUUCUUCCUUCAGUUGAUUCUUGAGCCCGUGAAUCUCAACAUUGUCAUCACGUAUAAUUAUGAUAUCAUUUACGUAUAUAAUAAGAAUGGAUUUUUUUCCAGCUUUUCCCUUUUUAACAAAGAUAAUGUGAUUAGUCUGCCCUUGAGUGUACUUUAGCCGAGUGAGAGUUGAGCUAAAUUUGGUGAACCACACACGUGGGGAUUGUUUCAAACCAUAUAACGUUUUUCAGUUUGCAAACUUUACCUCAUUCUUUUUCCGAUGGAAAUCUCGGUGGAAUCUUCAUAUAUACUUCUUCAUUAAGAUUGUCAUUCAAAAAAGCAUUCUUCACAUCGAUUUGAUGUAGUUCCCAGUCUAGAUUAACUGCCAAGGACAAGAAGACCCGAAUAGAGUUAAGUUUGACCAUUGGAGCAAACGUUUCUUAAUAAUCAAUCAUAUAUGUUUGUGUGAAGCCUUCUGCCACUAAUCGAGCUUUAUACAUUUCUACCUCUCUAUCUGCCUUAUAUAUCACUGUGAAAACCCAUUUACUUCCAACCACUUUCUUAUCAUUUGGUAGGUCAACUACUUCCCAAGUUCCAUUAUUAUGGAAUGCUCUAAUUUCCUCAUGCACAACUUUCUCCCACUUUGGAUCUUUGAAAGUCUUGAGAUAUUUUUUAGAAUUACCACAAUAUUUGCUAUGAAGGCUCUAAACCCAAAGAUAAUUUUGUGCAGGUUAUAAAAUUGGAAAUAUGAUGUUUCAUGCAUGUUUUUACCCCGUUUCCGUAUUGCAAUCGGCAAGUCCAAGUCACUACUCACUUUAGGAUCUAGUUCUUAGUUCAAUGAUUGGUCUUGUUGAGGAGCUUUUGGCCUUCGAGAGUAAACUUGAAGUGGUCUCUCAUAAAUUACUUCGCCCCAUUGAUCAUGACUUGGAACAGCACUAAGGAUAAGAAAUGGACUUAGACUUCAGUUUUCUGGAGAUGGUUGGACAUUGAUAUUUUUUUAUUCUAUUAGGGCAUAAUUCAUGAGCAAAAAUUAGACAUCUUUUGAUAUUGGAAGUGAUAUAGUAGGAUCCCAAUGACAUCUUUAUCAGAAUUCUCCCCUAGAGAUGGGUGUUGGGAUAACAAGGUUGAUUUUAAAAAAAGUUUACAUCACACGAGAUAAAAAUCUCUUAAGAAAAGGAGAAUAACAUUUGUACCCUUUUUGGGAUGGAGAAUAUCCAAUAAAUACAUAUUUAAGAGCCUUGAGAUUGAGUUUGCUUCGGUUGGGUUGUUUAUUAUGGACAAACACUGUGCAACCGAAUAUCUUUGGGGACACCAUGUUAAAAAAAAAUUACAGUUGGAAAAUGAUCAAGAAGGACACUCAAAUGAGUUCUAAAUUAAAGUGUUUUUUAGGGUAAAUGAUUAAUUAAAUAUGUUGAUGUGAGAAUUGCCUCACCCUAAUAGGAAUUUUGAACAAAAUUAGUGAACAUUAUUGAUCGAGCAACUCCAACAAAUGUCAAUUCUUUCUUUUUGCAACCUCAUUUUGUUUAAGUGUGUCAACACAAGAACUUUGAUGGUAUAUCCUAUUAUUCCCUAAAUACUGGCUAAAUUCAUUUGAUAAAUACUUCCUUCCAUUAUCUGUUCUAAGAACAUUUAUAUUGGAUUAAAAAAUAUUUUGGAUAAAUUUGUGGAACUGUUGAAACCAGUAAAAUGCCUUAGAUUUAUUUCCAUUAAGUACACCCAACACAUCCUAGUAUAGUCAUCUAUGAAAGUGAAAACCAUUGAGUUCUAGUUAAAUUAACUAUUCUGGAUGGACCUCAGAUAUCACUAUAAAUCAACUGAAAAGGUCUUGAGGGUUUGUAUAUGUGUGGCGAAUAAUUGACUCUGGAUUGUUUAGAAAAGACACAAUGUUCACACUGAAACAAAACUUUUUCUUUAUUGACGAAAAGAUUUGGAUACAAAACUUUCGUAUAAGAAAAGCUUGGAUGCCUUAAGCAUUGAUGCCAUAACAUAAUAUCAUAAUAGAAGAUGUUAAGUGUUAGAAAAUGUAUAUUUAUAAAGAAGAAAAUCAUCAUUUUACAUUUCAAGUUUUACUAACAACCCUUAUUUUUAUGUAUUUAAGCUUCUUACAAUUUAAUUAUGUGUGUUUAAUUUUAAUUAAGUAUUUUAUGUAUUUUAGGGGCAUUAUGGUCAUUUCACAAUAAACGAGAGAUCAGACAGCAAAACAAACAUCACUUUUGAACUCAGGACGGUCGAAAACCUUAGGAGAAGCAUAAAAGGAAAAAUAGCACUAUUCACAUGUACGGUACUAUUCACGUGUACGAUACUGUCUAUGUUACUGUUUAUGACACUGUUCACAUAGACGGAUCGAUGAUGUGGCAUUGACCGAUGAUGUGGCAUUGACUGAUGAGGUGUCACGAUCCUGUUGGGCUAAAAUUCUUAUGUACUGUUGAUGGUGACGUGACAGCAUAUCAGUGGACGAAAAAUCUCGCGUACGGUAUAUGCAUCACACAUGAUUAUUUUCAACCAAACCGCGUCACUGUUCACCCGGGUCAAACCGUGUUACUGUUGAAUCCAUUUUUGGGAUCCAUUUUCUGUAAUUCCUUUUCCAUCUUAUAUUUUCUACGUAUUUUAAUAAAUUCCCAUUUUGCCCUUAGUUCAAUUAUGAAUGGCUAAUUUUCUUUCAAGCUUGGGUUGAAGGUGAAGUCUCAACAUGUGUCAUGGGCUUUAUUUGGUAAAUUUAUUUUCUUUUCCCCUCUAAUUUUUGUGGAUGAUUUGACUUUUCAUCGACAAAUAAUAAUAAUCUUGUCUAGAUACCGCCUUGGUUACACCGGCUCUCUAGUACAAGGUUAUUAUUAUUUGGCACGAUAAGCCCUUAGCACCAUAUUGAUUAGAGUGUGGUUCAUGAGGUGUGGAUUCCCCCCUCAUGAUUUAAUUGGUAUUAAUAAGGAAUAUUUAGCCCAUUGUGCAUGUUGAUACGAAUCCAGAUACCCAAGUACGUCAUUUCAAUAGAAUUCUUUUCAAUUUAUUCUCAUCAUUUCAAUUCCAAUUUUAGAAUUUAUUCUCGCCAUUUUAAUUUAAGUUUUAGCAUAUUCCAAAUCAUUUCCACCACAAAUCUAAUCACCUAUUUACAAAAUUAAUUCUACAUACAAUUAAAAUCCACCUCCUCGUGGGAUCGACACUCGUUACUAUUGAUCUAUACUACAAUAGAUUUGUGCGCUUGCGAGUACAUUAAAAUUUGCACAACAAAAGACAUAGACAUUUUAUUUUGUGACUUAACUCUACUAGAAUCCCUAACUCCUGAGAGGUAGUAUAGGCCAUCUUUUCUCUCAGCAAUGUCAAUCAUCUUCCCCAAAGAACAAUCCUGAAAUUCACAGUGAGAGGAGAAAAAUGCCACAACAUAAUUCAUAUCUUUUGUUAACUUACUAAAUAACAAAAGAUUAUAUGUCAACUUCAGUACAUGUAAAUCGAUUUUAAAAUCAUAUUCGGUAAGCCCUUUGCCAUUGCAUGUGACAUUUUUUCAUCCGCAACCCACACAUUGAUCCUGUUAUUACACUUGUCAUAACCUCAUGGACAUUUAUUGACCCAGUCAUAAGGUCAGAGGCCCUUGCAUCUACAAUCUAACAACCUGCUUACUAUGACUUUGAUGGAAAAUGUGACUUAUUUUACCUAUUUAUGUCAUAACUGUAGUAGGAAUGUUUGGGUUUUGACUCUCAGAUCUUGUUGACACCUUAUUUUGGUCCAUAACAUCUUCACUUGCUUUGUUGAGAAGUUAAAUCGAGCAACUUUACCCAAAGUUAAUUCCAUUAGACGGGCUGAUCUAGAUUGCUUGCGUUGUUUCCUUAGUUUCCAGUCAGUUGGCUUACCGUGUAAGUCCCAACAAGUUUCAUGGGUGUGAUAGGGCUUGUUAUAAUAAUAACAUCAGAACUUGUCUCUGGACUGAGAUACAUGGCCAUUAUCUUGUUUGUUUGAUGCAAGAGCCUCGCCUCGUGUUUCCAAGGAAUAAGCGUAUUGGCUGGAAGGAUUCAUCAUCACACGUUUCCUACUAUCCUCUCUCCUUACCUCAGCAAACGAUUCUCGAAGGGUUGGAAAAGGCUUCAUCCCGAGCAAUCUUCCACGUACUUCAUCCAAGUCCAGAUUUAAUCCCUGUAAAAAAUCAAAAGUACGCUCUUUCUUAAGCAUUUUCUUAUAUUUUUCUACAUCAACAGUAUAUGACUAUCCCAUCUCAUAAAAAAGAUCUAUUUUUUGCCACAACUCCAUUAAGAAAUUGUAAUAUUAAGUGACCAUGAGACUUCCUUGUCUGGUGUUGCGAAUCUUUGAUCAAAUCUCAAAACAUUGAGAUGUGUUUUCAAGAUCGAAAUAAAUUUCUUGUACUGCCUCUCAAAUCUCCUUUGUUGUCUUGUAAAAUAGAUAAGUUCGUCCAAUACUUGGCUCCAUAGAAUUAAUGAGCCAAGCCAUAACAAUCAAAUUUUCUGCUUUUCAAGUGCUAUAAUUUGGUGUUGUAUCCGAAUGAGGUGUUAUUGCCCAUGUCAAGUAGCCAACCUUUCAUCUACCCAUGUUGACAAGAAUAACAGAUUGAAACCAUUCUCGAAAAUUCAGUCUGUUAAGUUUGUGCUGAGUGAUUUACAAAGAGUGGCUGUCAAAAGAAGGUAUAGAUGAAGAUCCAAAUAUGGAUCUUGGAGAUGCUUGGUUUGCUGUAGUAGAAGACACUUUUGAGGUCAUAUUUAGUGGUUCUCCAGUCAUUUAAAAAAGUAAAAACAAAUCAUUGACUAAUAACCUUGCUCUGAUACUAUGAAACAAGAAUACUAAUGAAUGAAUGAUUCUUAUUCACACUUUCUCAUUAACUUUGACAUAAUAUAUACACUUAGAAAGCCAAUCAAAAAAGGAAACUAAAUAAAGAAUCUCGAAAUUAUGUAAACUAAUCCUACAAUAUCUCACUAAUAUAUGUUUUACUAUUUUGACUAAAUCAAAUAAUAAAGGAAAAGAUACACCGAAAAAUAUCUACAAUUAAUUGACUAAAUCUCCAACAACCCGCAAAGCGGAUUUGGAUUGCUUAUGAAUGAAGUAAAGAGUGGAAUCUAAUUUCUUCCAACACAACCAAAAGAUUUGGAAAUUUAGAUGUGUUAUUUUUCAUUUCUGUGUGGAGACUUCUUUUGCUUCCAUUCGAAACAAUUAACACUUGUAACUUUAGUCACAAUGGCUCUUUUGAGAGUAAUGGGAUGAUAAGGCUAUCAGUUUCAAGAUUAAGGAGUGAACUGAUGUUGAUCAAGCAGGCAACAACUAGCCUCAUUGAUAAGCACAAUUAGCAAAUUGAUCCUAUGUAUUGAGCUCUUCUUCUUUCUUUGCAGUCAAUGUUCAAAUCAAAUUCUUCUUUAUCUGAUUCAGUAGCUUUUGGUUCUUUAAUUUAGUCACUAAUUCCCUGUUAUAUAUGUUCAUCUGACAAAUGUAGGGAUGGCAAAUUAACCCGAACCCGAAUCGGACCCGGACAAACCCGAAUAAUCUGGUCCGGGUUUAACCCGCACCGGAAGUUAAUACAAUGCGGAUCCGGAAAGGAUAUUUUGAACCCAGAUACAUUCUGGGUCUGGAUCCGGUUUUAUCUUAACCCGGACCCGGAUAAUUUAAUUAUAAAAAAAAAAAACCUAAUGCCUUAAGUCUUAACCUACUGCAGCCGCUUAUUUCUUCUCCAAUUUUUCUUUCUUUCUUCUCCAUCUUCUCUUUUCAUUAAACCCACUGCAACUGCUUUCUUUCUUCUCCAAUUUCUCUUUCAUUCACUCAAAUGACUUGGAAAAAUCUUUGUAUUGAAAGGAAGACAAAGAGGAAUGCGCCCAUUAAGGCUGAUCCUCAUUUUUUGUCACUCUUGCUGGUUUUUGACAGCUGCUUUCUGCCACUCUUGCUGGUUUUUUGUCACCAGAAACUGCUGAAUCUCCACAACAACUUUCUGACGAUGCUCUCCUCGACGCCGAUGACAACACCAAUGCCACCAAAAAUAUGAAAACUCAACAAUCCUCCCUCAACAUUCAUUUAGCUAUGGUUUUGAGAUUUUGGUGAUUUGAGAUUUGGAGAUUUGAGGAAGUAACAUCGAGAGAAAAAAAAAUUGUAAUAGAUAUCCGGGUUUGGAAUCCGCAAUCCAGAAACCUGGAUUUUUCCAGGUUCAACCCGGUUUGGACCCGAAAUUAAAAUAUUCGGGUUAUAUCCGGGCCCGGUAUAGUAAAAUUGUCAUCCGGAUCCGGAUCCGGAACCGGAAAGGCUGGACCCGGACCUGGAUCCGGAUUUUGCCAUCCCUAGACAAAUGCACUCUAAUCUGAAAAUGCAUCAAUAAUGAAGGGCCCAAUCUUUUAACCAUGAAGCUUAAUAAAUAGUUCCAUCUUGUAUGAACAGAAGACAGUAGAGGCAGCUUACCCCAAAUGGUUAAACUUAAGAUCAAAUGGAUCGAACAUAUAUAAUUGCAUAUAUAGCAAGGAAUUGAAAUCAAUCAAACAAGGACUGCAGCAGGCUAGAUGUUUACCUGAAGAGCAGAAGACUCUUGAAGAAACAUGACAGAAAGAUUUACAUUGAAGACUUGUGGUUCUGAUAUUUCCAAAGGAAGGAGGUUACUACUUUCCCAAAUACCUUGCAUGGAAGGCCAAGCGCUUAGAACUUUUAUUCAUGUAAAUUCAGGCUACAAUUGAAUUAUUGCAAGUCUAUUUUUCGUUACUUACAAAGAUCAUCGUGAGACCACACGUGAGCCAUAGCCAUGGCCAUCACUGGCCGGUUAAUUCAAAGAUCAUCAUACUGUUAGUUAUAAUUAAUCCAAGAAACUUGGCUACUGAAUGAGCGCAAAGAUCACUAGUAUUAUAAGGUGUUCUGAACAACUAUGCUGCAGCUUUCACUUCUGUCGUUAAAAAAAAAAAACUAAUUCUAUACAUGGUGUGUGUAUAUAUAUAGAUAUAAAGCACAAUCUCAUGGUUGUAAUAUAAGAUUAAAUGAUUUAACCUGUGAAAUCAUUCAUCAAUAUGGAAAAAAAACAAGAUGUGGAUUUUCAUACCAGAUGGCUUAGAGAUGAAGUUAUACCUGACAACAAAUGAUGGCAAUACGCGUCAACUUUCCGGGCCUCUGAAUUAGCCAAGAUUGUGGAAGGAAAAGAGAAGAAUUAGGAGCUCCCUUCAGUCCAAAACAUAGAGAGAAGAGCAGAAUUAGCCAACUGUUUUGGGCCGCAAGGAACCCCUAUUUCUACCAUUUUCGCAAAUUUUAUUAAGAGACCGAAAGAAAAGUGUAAAUUUAUAAUGGAAUUGAAGUAGCACUCGAGAUAUGGCUAUGCAAAAGCUGCUGCUUUCUAAAUAUGUCGAGUGAAAAGCAAUGCCUUCAGCUUUUGAAACUUACAUUUGCUGUGAAAUGGACUUGGCUCCUGCCUUGAUUCAAGCUCUCUAACCACCCAAGCCAAAACUAUAAAUGCAUGAAUAUGCAAAUGGCCGGCCAAGCAAUAAACAGAGCUAUUAUUUGUCUACUAUCAAGACAUGUAGUAAUGUCUAGUUUGCUUUUAUCAAUUGUCUCUAUAUAGUUAUACUUUCAGGUCUCAAUUUCUUUUGUGGUGGUCCAAAUCCUCUGUGGAAAGAAAGUAAUGGCGUUCACUUUGUU
rnacentral:lncRNA from 1 species